CGGGGAGCGGGGCCCAGCCCGGGCCGGUGCCGCCGUGGGGAGGCCGCGGGCGCGGCUCUGCUGGAGCCGCCUGUUUCCGUGUGGGUAUGGGAAGAGAAGCGGGUGUUGACGCGGGCUCGGGUGUGGGUGUCAGUAGGCGUGAGCGAUCGCCGCCACCUCCCAGCCCAGAGAGCCAGCUCGUGUUUUAGCCCUGAGGAUAAUCCAAUGCACCCUCGCUCUCGGCCCCCAGAGCCUCUUGAAGCCCUUUGGGCGGAGGGUGGGGACUGCUGUAGUUUAAGAGGAAACGACUUGGCCAUCCAUGUUCCCGGAGAUGUAAAGCAGCCCGUGGCAGCACUCAGUGAGAGCCCAGACCCCAGCAGGGGAGCCAGACUGAUCCCUCCAGGAGUGAUCCCUCCAGGAGCCAGACUGAUCCCUCCAGGAACGUCAGGCACAUGAUACAGGUGCAGCAGGCACUAGAGGCGCUGCCAAAGGCAAAUGACCUUCAUCCCAGCAUUUUUCCAUGAUGAGCUUUGCCUGGAAUUGGAGAAAGGAAAAAACUGAAAUGAACAGCUCACUGUGACCAUGGAGCUUGAGUCACUUGAACCAUGUCAGAUGGAAAACUAUUCUUAGUGGUCUUUCUGUGCAGUCAGCUUAUCUUCCAAGGAGAAAAUAAACCCUUUUUUUGGGUGGGUGCUUCACCUUUCACCAGGA